GUAAAGUUAGUCUCAGGAAGGAAGAUUCUGAGAUUAUUCUAAUCCGAGGAGUUUUCUGCUAAGCUUCCAUGCAGCAGACGCCAGUUGAUCUGCUUAUUUUGUCGCUCAACUGUUUGGAAAGUUGAUGGCGCCACAAAGGAUGGCAUAUGCUGCCAGAGUUACCUGUACUAAAGCUUGUUUUUUUAGGGAUACAAAGACUCCAUAUGAUGAUCACGAUUAUUAUUAUUCUAAUCCACGAUCAAUUGUACUUCGACAUGGAUUGUACUACCUUCCCUGGGGUGGGGAAUUGUACUGCCUUCCUGAAACAUGCAUCAGUAAACACUUUCUAAAUUUUCAAGCUUUCACCAAUCCACUGCUAGUAUUGUAAAUUUUGGAGAGAGGAAAAAAAAAACAUGAGGAUAGCAGCCAGGAAUAGACAUAUUGGAUGACCUGAAUGCUGGUAGGCCCAUUGGACUCAGUGGCUCCGAGAUCUAGUGGGAGCAGCACAGG
rnacentral:lncRNA from 7 species